rnacentral:sRNA from 1 species
GACCAAGCAAGCCCACAAGAAGAGUAUGGUAUGUCUGAAAUCAGGCAGAAAUUAGUUUCAUGCCUGAUUUAAUUUUUGUGUUUGAUGAUUUAUUUCUGUGGCUAGUUAAGGAUGGAUGUUAGAAACAGAUAACUGCAUGGAUAGAGAUAAAAGGAUUUGUUUUCUGUUAUUCAUCAUGUUGUUAUUUUCUCUGAAUGAAUGAGGCAGUAGGCUUUGAGAGACUGCAAUCAGGACAUCUAACAAAACUCUUAGAGGAUGACUUCUGGGCCGAUGUGAGCACUUUGCACGUGCAGAAAAUAAUUUCUGCCAUCUCCGAGCUGUUGGAGAGGCUGAAAUCGUACGGUGAGGAUGGCACAGCAGCAAAGCACCUGUUCUUCAGCCAAUCCUGUUCCUUGCUGGUGCGCCUGGUGCCGGUCCUCUCCAGCUACUCAGACCUCGUCCUCUUCUUCCUGACCAUGUCUUUAGCAACUCACCGUAGUACUGCAAAGCUGCUCUCUGUGCUUGCCCAGGUCUUUACAGAGCUUGCCCAGAAGG